UAUCAUCUGUGUGAAAGGCGGGCACGCUGUAUCGGAGCCAGGUGGCACACAGAGAUUAGAGUGGAGAACGCACCCCACCCGACCCCACCCGAGCGCCAGUGGUGUCAGACUGACACGGUGGAGAGGAGGAAGGUCGCCGUGAUCCAGGCGGCGGAGUAACGAUGAGAGCUGGAGGGGUACUUGGUGCCGUUGAUCGUGUGCUCGGACCCCUUGUCGUCGCUGGAGCCCCAGUGAAAGUGAAACUGCUUCAGUCUGUAUACACCAGUGAUGGGUCCACCCGUCAGGACUGCACACACACACACACACACAGUUUAUACACUGUUUUGUACGCUGUACAUAAACAUUUCAAUAAAGUUUCUCUCCUAACAA